GCAUCGAUGAAGAACGCAGCGAAAUGCGAUAAGUAAUGUGAAUUGCAGAAUUCAGUGAAUCAUCGAAUCUUUGAACGCACCUUGCGCUCCAUGGCAUUCCGUGGAGCAUGCCUGUUUGAGUGCCGCGAAAUCUCCCACCCCUAGCGGUUGCCGCAAGGCGCCGCCGGGCGGCGGGGUUGGUUGGGUGCCGCUGCCUGGGCUUUGGCCCAGGCUCGCCCGAAAUGCAUGAGCGCUUAGCACUCGCACCGUCUCGAGGGAAGGCGGCGGAGCUGGCAUCUGCGCAUGGCAUGAUACGUCAUUUGCUGUGUGGCAGCCCAGCGACCCGAGAGUGUGUGUGCGCUACUACACGCCCUUUCAUUUCUGGUCUCAAAUCAGGUAGGAUCACCCGCUGAACUUAAGCAUAUCAAUAAGCGGAGGA
rnacentral:rRNA from 1 species